GGUCUUAUGGUCUAGCGGUCAUGACUGUGGAUUUUGAUUCCACCGACCCCGGUUCGAACCCGGGUAAGACCU
rnacentral:tRNA from 1 species